CGAGUGAAGCGGGAUGAGCUCAAAUUUGUAAUCUGGUGGACUCAGUUCAUCCGAGUUGUAAUCUAUAGAAGUGUUUUCCGCGCUGGACCGUGUCUAAGUCCCUUGGAACAGGGUGUCAGAGAGGGUGAGAAUCCCGUGCUUGAUACGAUCACCAGUGCUAUGUGAUACACUUUCAACGAGUCGAGUUGUUUGGGAAUGCAGCUCAAAAUGGGUGGUAAAUUCCAUCUAAAGCUAAAUAUUGGCGAGAGACCGAUAGCGAACAAGUACCGUGAGGGAAAGAUGAAAAGCACUUUGGAAAGAGAGUUAAACAGUACGUGAAAUUGUUAAAAGGGAAACGAUUGAAGUCAGUCGUGCUCUCUGGGACUCAGCCGUUCUUCCGGUGUACUUCCCAGUGAGCGGGUCAACAUCAGUUUAGAUCGCUGGAUAAAGGUAUUAGGAAGGUGGCUCCCUCGGGAGUGUUAUAGCCUAGUAUCGCAUACAGUGGUUUAGACUGAGGAACGCAGCUCGCCUUUAUGGCCGGGGUUCGCCCACGUCCGAGCUUAGG
rnacentral:rRNA from 1 species